rnacentral:rRNA from 1 species
GUCUACAGCCAUGCCACCCUGAACGUGCCCGAUCUUGUCUGAUCUCAGAAGCUAAGUAGGGUUGGGCCUGGUUAGUACUUGGAUGGGAGACCACCUAGGAAGACCAGGUACUACAGGCG